GCUUGUCCACAGUAGAAGAAGUGACGUUUUUCACCGACAGAAUCGCACGUGGCUGCCUAUGCGAUGCUGAAGGACAUCCGCAAGCUGUUAUUCAAAAACUCAAGUUUCCCACCUCGUUGACUUUCACUGGUAGUCAACUAAUAUCAAUUAAACACGUAAUAUAUUCAAUGGUUUGACGAAACGGUUAUUUGUAGACUGCACAUUUUUACGAAUCCACGAAUUAAAUUUAAAGAUUUAAAAGUAUACAAAAUGCAUAUAAUAGUUCUAUGAUAUAUGUAUAACAGUUCCCCUAUAAAUUCUAUUUCUAAUUCUAAUUCAGUUUAGUUACAGAAAUAAGACCUUGAUGGAGAUCUGUGUCACUCACUAAAUAUUAUUAGUGCUUUUAUUUUAGCAUAUUAAAUGCAUCCUGCAGACUUUUCCAUUUCUCCAUUUCUCAUAAAGAAAUGAUCUUCCUGAACGAUCCUCAGGAUCGUGCAGUCGAUCUCCGCAAGAAUGAAAAGAAGUAUCGCCAGCCCACCGCGAAGAUUCAUUUCCAAUAACAUCACAAUGAUAUUAAAAAGACACGCAUAAUCGAAGAAAAUAAAGUAAACGAAUAAAAGGUACUUUAACAAAGAUAUGCAGAAAAGUUUACAACUUUUAACAAAGACGAUAGAGGCAAGUGACGAGAGUACGACUAGGUAAUCCUUGUUGCGGAUCGUUCACUAGAACGAGUAAAUCCUUCGAAGGAACUUACUUAGAAGAAAGUGAUCGUUGACGAUUCCCAUCGAAGAAGGGGAAUAUGCAUACUUGCGAUCACGACGAACCAGUGGAAACUGGCAGCUCUUAAACAGACGAAUAUCGCUCUCACUAACGAAAGUUACCUCUUUGCCAUCACUGUCUUUCUUCCUCGCUCUUUUCAUACCAAUUAGAAACGUUCAUUUUUCUUAGAUACGAUUAUGAAUCACGUGUCUUCGCAAACGCGUGCAGUAAGAUCCUUGUAUCAAUGAAUCCUUUUUUUAUUAUUGGCUAUUUAACUCCCAAUUAACUCGCAUGUUACACACUUCCUUUAGAAUAGAAUCAAAUCUUCUUCGUUGAUUUUCAGAUAGGAAUUUUAAAGACUAUUUCUUUGAGAAAGAAAAAUCUUCAUGGGAAAAAGAAAGUUGAUCACUACGUUGAGUUUAAAGAGACUUAAGAUAUUGUUUCAGCUCUGCUAAUGAGAUAGUGAAUGUAAUUCAUACUUAAUUUUAUGUAGAUUAUAUUUCAUCCAAUAUUGGAUUAGAUCUAAUUAUUCAAAUUUAAUGUUAAUUUGGUGUUUAAUUUAGUACUUAAUUUUGGUUCAUCUCAAUUGAGCUAAAUCUAAUAAACUUGGCACAGAUAUAAUUUAAUGUUUAAGAGGAGCUAAGGACUGAAGAUUGUAGUUAAAAAAUGUGUUAUUUAAAAUAAUCUUUGUCUAAUUUGAAUCCAACUUAGUGUCUAAAAGGACUUGAGGAUAAAAUUGUAGGAUUUGAAAAAUGUAUACGUCAUUCAAUCUUCAAACUAUCAAAUUUAGAAAUGGAGAUAUUUUCAUGGUGAUGUCUAGAUCUAGAAACCCAAUUCGCCUACUAAAUACAUCCUGCGUUACAGAUCUUCCUUUCAGUCUGUAACGUAUAAUCCGUUAUGAAUCAUUUAGUUGUAGUUUCUCGUAAUUACGCAUUAUCGAGGCAUCGGAGGAACGAUCGCUUUUUUGCUUGACGUCGAAUUACCCGAUGCAGUAGCGUGUUUACCAACAAACCUGUUAAUCAUUACUCUCGAGAAACGGAUUCUCGCUGAGAAACAUAAACGCACGUAUAGCUUGUCAUUUCACUACAACGAGAAUGUCAGUGAUGCAGAGCAGUGAACCUAGAGGACGAUUCAAAAAUUCAGUCACAAAAUUCUUGCAAAAGGAUCAUUAUAUUACAUUGAUUAUCAAAUUAAUUCAUAGAAGCAGACGAGCAAUACUUACAAUACUCGAUUUUGAAAUUAAUUCUUUCGUAAAAGGCAAAAAUAAUAAAAACUUGAAGAUGACAUUAGUAUCUUUGGAAUUUACUUUGUUAACAUAUAAUUAAAUAAUAUAGGUAUCAUAAAUAAAAAGAUUUAUCGAAUAUUGUUCCAUGAGAAAAGGAAGAAUGUUCGAAUUUGAAAACUGGAAGACAUGUUUUGAAAGGACCUGUAUAACUUUUGCAUAAAAACGUGUUAAUUAUAAAUUGAGGAUAUUGAGAACUAAAAAUAAUAGUUUGUUUCCUUUUUUGAAGCAGCUUGUAGAGUUGCUGUUAUCGAGGCCAUUUCCAUGAGGCAAGGAAAGUGAGGAGGAAUGCAAUGUGACGUCGAGAUAAGUAACGAGUUGAGCGUGUUUAAUUACUCUCUCUGUUCACGAGAACAUUUUUAGCAUUGCUAAUUCGUUCAAAGAGAACUUUAUAGCGUUAUAAAUUAUGAAACUCGAUCGAAAUUACAAAAAUUCCACGACGUAAAUUAUAUAGUUGAAACAAGGCAGGAAGCGUGUAAACGAGAUUUCCUUUUUUCUCCCUUUAUAGUUCAGAAGAAAGCGAUGUAAAGUAAAAUUGUUUUCUACGAAUCUUCCGUCGUUAUUUGAAUUUUCUAUGGUUCAAUUUUGUCACUAUUUCAGCUAACAUCGAAUAAUUUCGUAUUAUUUCCACUAGAAACGGUCCAAGUGUAAUACUUGUAUAGAAUCAGCUCUAAUUGUGAAAGCGAAGACAGUAAAGUCGAUGAAAGCGAUCCUUUUGUUUUUCCAAAGCGAUUUAACAUGACCGUAAUUCCGUGUGUUUCACGUUCAAUUGAAAAUUCUUACAUGCAGAAAAUGAAAAUAUUCCGUUUCGACUAUACAUUGCUUACAAGAUGUACAAAACGUUCAUAUUUCCCCCUUGUAAUAAUUUUUUCAUCCAAUUGUAAAAAAGUGCAUCUAAUAUUUAUGAAAAACCGAUACACAUUUUCACUCAUUAAUUACAAUAGAGAAAGUUGUAAAAAAACUGCUUUCUGAUAUCCUUAAAGAACAUAGUGCAUGCACCAUUUACUACACCUGCAUACUUAGAUAGUUUUCAAAUCUUAUGGAAUUAUUUAUCAUAAUUGAAAUUUAAAAACUGAGAUAUAAAACUGAGAUA